UACGGAGGGAGCUAGCGUUGUUCGGAAUUACUGGGCGUAAAGCGCGCGUAGGCGGCUUUGUAAGUUAGGGGUGAAAGCCCGGGGCUCAACCCCGGAACUGCCUUUAAGACUGCAUCGCUUGAAUCCAGGAGAGGUGAGUGGAAUUCCGAGUGUAGAGGUGAAAUUCGUAGAUAUUCGGAAGAACACCAGUGGCGAAGGCGGCUCACUGGACUGGUAUUGACGCUGAUGUGCGAAAGCGUGGGGAGCAAACAGG
rnacentral:rRNA from 1 species